rnacentral:rRNA from 1 species
AGUGAACGCUGGCGGUAGGCCUAACACAUGCAAGUCGAACGGCAGCACAGUAAGAGCUUGCUCUUACGGGUGGCGAGUGGCGGACGGGUGAGGAAUACAUCGGAAUCUACUUUUUCGUGGGGGAUAACGUAGGGAAACUUACGCUAAUACCGCAUACGACCUACGGGUGAAAGCAGGGGAUCUUCGGACCUUGCGCGAUUGAAUGAGCCGAUGCCGGAUUAGCUAGUUGGCGGGGUAAAGGCCCACCAAGGCGACGAUCCGUAGCUGGUCUGAGAGGAUGAUCAGCCACAAUGGAACUUAGACACGGUCCAGACUCCUACGGGAGGCAGCAGUGGGGAAUAUUGGACAAUGGGCGCAAGCCUGAUCCAGCCAUACCGCGUGGGUGAAGAAGGCCUUCGGGUUGUAAAGCCCUUUUGUUGGGAAAGAAAAGCAGCAGGUUAAUACCCCGCUGUUCUGACGGUACCCAAAGAAUAAGCACCGGCUAACUUCGUG